CACACUGCGUGGGUUCAGCCGUGGUCAAGCCGACCUCUCAGGCAGUGGACGUGGGCAUGGAGUGAGGGUCACCCCUCGGGUCCUUGCAGUUGGGGAGCAAGGCACCGCCGGUGGCUCGAGUGGGCGGGGCUCCCUAUUGUAGGGUGUCCUUGUUCCCUGGCCUUUGUUUUCCCAGCACGUACGACGGCCAAGGCUGUGUUGGGUGAGGUGGUGGUGACCACACGGCUGGAAGGGCUGUGUUGGGUGAGGUGGUGGUGACCACAGGGCUGGAAGGGCUGUGUUGGGUGAGGUGGUGGUGACCACACGGCUGGAAGGGCUGUGUUGGGUGAGGUGGUGGUGACCACACGGCUGGAAGGGCUGGGGUGGGUGAGGUGGUGGUGACCACACGGCUGGAAGGGCUGUGUUGGGUGAGGUGGUGGUGACCACACGGCUGGAAGGGCUGUGUUGGGUGAGGUGGUGGUGACCACACGGCUGGAAGGGCUGGGGUGGGUGAGGUGGUGGUGACCACACGGCUGGAAGGGCUGUGUUGGGUGAGGUGGUGGUGACCACACGGCUGGAAGGGCUGUGUUGGGUGAGGUGGUGGUGACCACACGGCUGGAAGGGCUGGGGUGGGUGAGGUGGUGGUGACCACAGCUGCAGCCGAGUAGACACAUCCCUUCCCUGGGACUGCGCUGGCUGCCUGCAGGAACCCUCUCUGUGGCCUGCCAGCGAUGGAGGCGGGUGGAGGGCGCGAGGCUGCCUGUGAGUGACAGCUGCCUGCGUUCUUGAGGACGGGCCUGCUUGUUUCCUGUGGGUGAGCCACCAGCUGUACCGACGGGGAGCCGUCCGUCUCGUGCCGUGUGGCCUGUCACCGGGCCCGGCAGUCACCCUGUCUGUCCACAGCCACCUCUCCUCGCAGGCCUUCUUGCUUCGGCCCUGGCCCCCAGGAUGUAGGCAAGGCCUCAGGUGCCUCCAGCUGGUGUUGAGGCUGGCUGGCCGGAAUGCUCCUUGGGGGCAGGAGCCUCUGCCCCUUCCAGCUCCUUCCGCGUGCUCCCUGACUCCCACGCUGGUCACGGCACUUGCUGCCACACUCAGGUUGGGGAACAGAGGGAGGCAUGGGAGUGGGGCCCAAGCUCGGCACGCGUUUGCUGCCGCCUGAGCCAGGAGGAGGAAGGGGGAGUCCAGCCAGGACCCUCAGCAUUCCUGAGACGCCCGAAGGGCAACAUUGCAACAAAGACUGGUCACACAGCAUCCAGCUGGGCUCCCCGGCGUGACCUGCGCAGAGCCUGGGCUGCGGCAUGGUCAGGCACUUGGUAGGCAGCAGACCCGUGGGCUCUGGGAGCAGCUGGGCCGGCCUGCAGGGUGGGAAGCAGCAGUGAGGGAGACAGGUUGCUGAGGUGCCCCGAGCCCUGGCCUGCCGCAUGCCUCAUCCCCUCUGCCUGUCCCUGCUGCUGCCCCCAGCACGUCUUGCCUGCCCCUGACACCGUAUAGACAGUCCCGCUAGUCUGGUGAGAAGGUGGCCUCUGCUCCGGGGCAGGGGCACGUGGUCUUCUGACUCCCAGGGUGGUGCCCCUGGAGCAUCAGUGGCAGCUGCCCACGGAGUGGAGUCCCUUCUGUGAGUGGCCUGGGCACAGCUCGGGUGGAGGAAGACGGGCCCCUUUGUUCGUCACAAGCGCUAUGCUCACACUAACUUUACUUGGUUGUGGUUCCAUGUCCAGUCCAGCAGAACCCGCCAGAGCCCUCCCUCCCCUGUCCACUUUGUCCUGAUGUCCCCCUCUCCCCACCCCCCACCUGCUCUGGGCCACUGAGCCCCUGGACCCCAGAGUCACACAGGCCUCCUGUAACCGUGAGUUCCUGUUUUAGAGAGAGAGCAAGAGAGAAGUAUCCAGGUGGACAGGCUGAGUCCCUGGGGAGCCGACGUGGACUCCUGACGCUGGACCCUGGUCUCUGGGUCCCAGCACCUGGGUGUCUGGCACACAUGGGUGUGCUGUGACCGUUUGUUGAAUGACUGUUGGUGUCCAAGUUUCAUUUAUGCAGUGGCGUGGAUGGAGUAACUGACCCACGUGGAGGAGCAUCUGCCAGAGCCCAGGAGAAGGAAGCAGGCCGUGAGCAGUGAGGUGGUCGAGGCAGGUGGCCCCGUGGUCUCUCCCCAUGAUCAAGGAGGAGGACCCGAGGCAGUGUCUAGUCCCCUGCCGGGCUCUGCAUCUUCUGCCGACCCCGUGGCAUCCCGUGUGGUGGGUGCCACUGGGCCGUCUUACGGGUGUGAGGUCGCACUCAGCCAGGUCAGGAGUUCUGACCACGGGCCAGGCCAGGGUCUGUGAGUGGCUUGGCCGCCGGCCCUGAGCUCUCUGCUGUGGCUCUCAACGUCUCAGCACACUUGCCUGGCCACACGCCUGGCCUGUGAGCCCCGUGCAUGGGGUCAGAACGGGAGGGUGGGGAGCGCCGCGGCUGGGACCCUCCCUGGCCGCACAGGACAUCUGCUUCUUGCUGGUCUUGAGCUGUGAGCCUGUGUGUUUCCACCCCCAACUGCAGUGAACCUGGGUCCUCCGAGAGGCGCUCACCUGACAUGGGAUUUGAGGACAGCGUCGAGCGUCGCAAGGGGUGGGUGGAGAGUGACAGCUUUCCUAGGAGGUGGGUUUUCAAGGCCUUGCUGCUCCGUGUGUCAGGGCUGGAGGCCUCUGUUUGCUUCUGAGCUCUCGGUGACGGGCAGCUGUCGGUGACGAGCCGGUGCGAGCUGCCCAGCCCUGGCAGCACCCCGUGCUGGGGACUCUGAGGGGGCCUGCUGCCGAGCCCACUGGGUCUCUGGGUUUAUGUUGCAGCAACGAGGGUCUUCUUUUAAAGGCACCUGAACGUCUUGCUCUUUGUGUUUCAUCAUGACGGGCUCUGGGAUGAGCUCUCUGCUCCUGGGUGCCUGGGCUCCAGGGGACUUGGGUGAAGUGGCUGUCCUCCAGCUGAGUGGGGCUCUGGGGGCUCGGGGCCUCUGGAGAAAGUGCCUCAUCUGGACAGGACCACGGCGGUUCACGCCCUGGCUGUUGGUGCGUGUUUUGUGCACUUGUCGGCUCCAUUCAUCAUUAAACCCGGACGCCAGAAGCCAGUUUCCCGGGUGAUUCUAGCAUGGGGAUCAGUCCCCCCUUAAGCCUCUGCAGCUGCUCUUCAGGGCUUCUGAGUUCUUUUUGGGAAAAGUUGUUGGUGCCAGGCAGGUAAGUAAUUGCCAAAUUACAUAGCAGGGCAACGCUGUCAGGAGAGGCGAAUGAUUUAGUUAGAAACCAGCUCAGCGGCUGAGCCUCUUGGACGCCUUCCUGUUGUUACGUGUGUCUCAUGCCUGUCGGCCCCUCACAUCCCAGCAUCUGGGUGGAUGCGAAAGGCAGCCUGUCAUUUACGUUUUACCAUCAAGGCCUUGUCUUUGUCCACGUAAAGUGUGCUUGCAGCCCCCAAAAUGACAUUCAGGAUCAUUUAAGAUAGCUGCUGGCGUCUCUCGACUGUCAGCCUGUGAUGGGUGCAGCCGCUCCGCCUCCCACAGCCUCCCCGCACCUCCCCGCCGGGCCACACUGGCCUCUGCUCUGUUGGGACAGGAAUGGCGGGGACGGCGGUCUCUCGCGGGGCUGUUCUGUCCAGGUGCUCCCUCCUCUGCCCAGUCUGCUCUGCCUCGCUUGUGGUCCCCACUUGGCUGUGUUGCUGGGAGUCCCUCCAGGGUGUGUCCUGUCCUGCUUACCCUCGGCGCAGGACGUUCAGCUGGGCCUCAGCACGCGCAGUACUCUGAUAGAAAUUUCACAAGGAAUGGCUGCACACCUUCACUGCUGCUUUUCAACAAAGUCCAACGUCCAGGGACAGCAUCAACUUCUGUCCCUUCUAGUAUUUUUUUUUUAAUUAUGUAUUUUACUUGAAAGGCAGAGUUAUGGAGAGGCAGAGGU